rnacentral:rRNA from 1 species
GACGAACGCUGGCGGCGCGCUUAACACAUGCAAGUCGAGCGAAGCGGCGGACGGGUGAGUAACACGUGCGUAACCUGCCUUAGACAUUGGGAUAGCCUCGGGCAACCGGGAUUAAUACCAAAUGGUCUAAGAUGGACUCGCGUCCCAUUAGCUAGUUGGUGGGUAACGGCCCACAAAGGCGACGAAGGGUAGCCGGCCGGAGAGGGUGAACGGGCACAUUGGGACUGAGAAACGGUCCAAACGCUACGGGAGGCAGCAGUGGGGAAUAGUGCACACUGGAGGGAACUCUAGGGCAGCGACGCCGCGAGAACGAAAAAGGCUUUCGAGUCGUAAAGUUCUGUUAUAUGAGAAGCGGUACCAUAAGAAAAAGCCCCGGCUAACUACGUGCCAGCAGCCGCGGUAAUAC